GGGGCUGUAGCUCAGUGGUAGAGCGCUUGCCUAGCAUGCAUGAGGCACUGGUUUAGAUCCUCAGCACCU
rnacentral:tRNA from 1 species